rnacentral:rRNA from 1 species
UACAGAGGUCCCAAGCGUUGUUCGGAUUCACUGGGCGUAAAGGGUGCGUAGGUGGUUGAAUAAGUUUGAUGUGAAAUCUCCGAGCUUAACUCGGAAACUGCAUUGAGUACUGUUUGACUAGAGGAUUGGAGGGGGGACUGGAAUUCUCGGUGUAGCAGUGAAAUGCGUAGAUAUCGGGAAGAACACCAAAGAGGCGAAGGCAGUUAACUAUUCUGCUCCUGACAUUGAGGCACGAAAGCGUGGGUAGCAAAGCGG